UACGGGAGGCAGCAGUAGGGAAUCUUCCGCAAUGGACGAAAGUCUGACGGAGCAACGCCGCGUGAACGAUGAAGGCUUUCGGGUCGUAAAGUUCUGUUGUUAGGGAAGAACAAGUACCGGAGUAACUGCCGGUACCUUGACGGUACCUAACCAGAAAGCCACGGCUAACUACGUGCCAGCAGCCGCGGUAAUACGGAGGGUGCGAGCGUUAAUCGGAAUUACUGGGCGUAAAGGGCACGCAGGCGGUUAAUUAAGUUGGAUGUGAAAUCCCCCGGGGCUUAACCUGGGAAUGGCAUUCAAGACUGGUUAGCUAGAGUCUUGUAGAGGGGGGUAGAAUUCCAUGUGUAGCGGUGAAAUGCGUAGAGAUGUGGAGGAAUACCGGUGGCGAAGGCGGCCCCUGGCAAAGACUGACGCUCAUGUGCGAAAGCGUGGGGAGCAAACAGGGAUUAGAUACC
rnacentral:rRNA from 1 species